AAGUCGUAACAAGGUUUCCGUAGGUGAACCUGCGGAAGGAUCAUUACCGUGGGGGCCCCCCGGGGCCCCUGCCGAGAUAGCACCCCUUGUCUUACAGCACCAACCGUUUCCUCGGCGGGCCCGCCCGCCAACGGGGACCAAACCAAACCAAACCGCAGUCUAAGAAGUCAAACCGUAACAAAACAAAAAAUCAAAACUUUCAACAACGGAUCUCUUGGUUCUG
rnacentral:misc_RNA from 1 species